rnacentral:rRNA from 1 species
GCCGGAAGGUGCAAGCGUUGCUCGGAAUCACUGGGCGUAAAGGGUUCGUAGGCGGCCGUGCAAGUCUGGCGUGAAAGCCCCGGGCUCAGCCCGGGAAGUGCGCUCGAAACUGCGCGGCUCGAGUGCCGGAGGGGAGAGUGGAAUUCCUGGUGUAGCGGUGAAAUGCGUAGAUAUCGGGAAGAACACCCGUGGCGAAGGCGGCUCUCUGGGACGGUACUGACGCUGAGACGCGAAAGCGUGGGGAGCGAACAGG